rnacentral:rRNA from 1 species
UGCAAGUCGAACGCUCUUGGGAAACCGAGAGAGUGGCGGACGGGUGAGUGACACGUGGGUAUCUACCUUUCGGUGAGGAAUACCGGCGAGAAAUCGCCGACAAGACCGCAUACGCUCUGGAAAGAGCAAAGUCGCAAGACGCCGGGAGAUGAGCCUGCGGCCGAUUAGCCUGUUGGUGGGGUAAAGGCCUACCAAAGCGACGAUCGGGAGCUGGUCUGAGAGGACGAUCAGCCACACUGGGAUUGAGAACGGCCCAGACUCCUACGGGGGGCAGCAGUGAGGAAUUUUCGGCAAUGGGGGCAACCCUGACCGAGCAACGCCGCGUGCAGGACGAAGGUUUUCGGAUCGUAAACUGCUUUUCUCUGGGACGAGAACGGACGGUACCAGAGGAAGAAGCCCCGGCUAACUACGUGCCAGCAGCCGCGGUAAUACGUAGGGGGCGAGCGUUGUCCGGAGUUACUGGGCGUAAAGGGCGCGUAGGCGGUUGGGUCAGUUUCCCAUGACAGUGCCGGGCUUAACCCGGCAAGGUUUGGCGAAAGACGGCCUGACUUGAGGGCCAGAGAGGGACAUAGAAUUCCGGGUGGAGUGGUGAAAUGCGUAGAUAUCCGGAGGAAUACCAAAGGCGAAGGC